UUCCGGUUGAUCCUGCCGGAGGAUACUGCUAUCGGACUUCGACUAAGCCAUGCAAGUCAGCUGAUCCACUUGGGUGGCGGCAGACGGCUGAGUAACACGUAGUCAAUCUGCCCUAAGGACAGGAAUAAGCUUGGGAAACUGAGUCUAAUGCCUGAUAGGUGAUUUAUGCUGGAAUGCUUAAUCAUCCAAAUGAAAGGUGAAUUGGAGCCUUUUCGCCUUAGGAUGAGACUGCGGAGGAUCACGGUAGUUGGUGAGGUAACGGCCCACCAAGCCGAUAAUCCUUAGGGGCCAUGGGAGUGGUGGCCCCGAGAAGGGUACUGAGACAAGGACCCUAGCCCUACGGGGUGCAGCAGGCGCGAAACCUUUGCAAUGCGCGAAAGCGUGACAAGGGAAGUCCGAGUGGUGGAAACUUGUUUUCCAUCUUUUGCCAAGUGUAAACAGCUUGGAGAAUAAGGUGUGGGCAAGACUGGUGGCAGCCGCCGCGGUAACAACAGCGCCUCAAGUGGUAUCCACGAAUAUUGGGCCUAGAGCGUCCGUAGCCGGAUUGGAAAGUCUACGUGGAAAUGUUGGGGCUUAACCGUAAGCGGCGCGGUAAUACUUUCAGUCUUGGGAACGGGGGAAGUUAGGAGUACUUCCAGGGUAGGG
rnacentral:rRNA from 1 species